GGUGACAGAGCAAGACUUCAUCUCAAAAAAAAAAAGCGCAUACAAAUGUAGAAAGGACUGUGUAAUGAACCCCUACGUACCACGUACCACCUGAUUAAUCAUUAGUGGCUCAAGACUAAUAAUUAUUGACUCAUGACCCAAUUCGUUUCAUCAGUUUCUGCCUCUCCCCGUUCUCUCUCUAGCUCUCUUUCUUUCUGGAUUGGAGUAUUUUUGAGCCAUCCCCAAAUAUAUAAUUUUAUGUAACUACUGUGUCUCUCAUGGAUAAGGGCUUCUUAAGAGCAGCAGAGGGAAAGAGUUGGGUCAGAACCCAGAGCCACAGGGUGAGCUGUGUCCAAGCAGCACAGAUCCGAGGCAGCGCUUCUGGUUGCCCAGCUUGUUUAGAAACAUGAUUAAAUAUGUGACAUGUGAAGCAACAUUUACCUUUAUAAAAAGUGCCUCUGGACAUGUGUCUCAGAACUUAAAGUAUAAUAAAAAACAGAUU